rnacentral:rRNA from 1 species
AACGAACGCUGGCGGCAUGCCUAACACAUGCAAGUCGAACGAGACCUUCGGGUCUAGUGGCGCACGGGUGCGUAACGCGUGGGAACCUGCACUUAGGUUCGGACUAACUCCCCGAAAGGGGUGCUAAUACCGGAUAAUGUCUUCGGACCAAAGAUUUAUCGCCUUUGGAUGGGCCCUCGUUGGAUUAGCUAGUUGGUAGGGUAAAAGCCUACCAAGGCGACGAUCCAUAGCUGGUCUGAGAGGAUGAUCAGCCACACUGGGACUGAGACACGGCCCAGACUCCUACGGGAGGCAGCAGUGGGGAAUAUUGGACAAUGGGCGAAAGCCUGAUCCAGCAAGGCCGCGUGAGUGAUGAAGGCCGUAGGGUUGUAAAGCUCUUUUACCCGGGAUGAUAAUGACAGUACCGGGAGAAUAAGCUCCGGCUAACUCCGUG